UGGUACAGAUGUUCAAAAAAGCACUCUAACUUAAAGCACUUUAGUUUAAUACCACAUCCAUUGAGGGUUAACUUAGAGGGUGUUCCACCAUUUUUAAACCA